rnacentral:rRNA from 1 species
AACGAACGUUGGCGGUGUGCCUAAUACAUGCAAGUCGCGCGAGAAAGCCGGGGCAACUCGGCGAGUACAGCGGCGGAAGGGUGCGUAAUACAUGGAUAACGUGCCCUCGAGUGGAGGAUAACCCACCGAAAGGUGGGCUAAUACUGCAUGACGGCGGGAGGCGGCCUCGUUUCCCGCUCAAAGCAGAGAUGCGCUCGAGGAGCGGUCCAUGGCCUAUCAGCUAGUUGGCGGGGUAACGGCCCACCAAGGCGAUGACGGGUAGCCGGACUGAGAGGUUGAACGGCCACACUGGGACUGAGACACGGCCCAGACAUCUACGGAUGGCAGCAGUAGGGAAUCUUGCGCAAUGGGCGAAAGCCUGACGCAGCGACACCGCGUGGGGG